rnacentral:rRNA from 1 species
UACGGGGGGGGCGAAGCGUUGUUCGGAAUUACUGGGCGUAAAGGGCUCGUAGGCGGCCAACUAAGUCAAACGUGAAAUCCCUCGGCUUAACCGGGGAACUGCGUCUGAUACUGGAUGGCUUGAGUUUGGGAGAGGGAUGCGGAAUUCCAGGUGUAGCGGUGAAAUGCGUAGAUAUCGUAAGGAAGACCAGUGGCGAAGGCGGGUCUCUGGACAGUUCCUGACGCUGAGGCACGAAGGUCAGGGGGAGCAAACGGG